UAAUGUUUUUUUUUUUUAAGGCUAGUCAAGUGAAGCAGUGGGAGUGGAGAAGGAACGAAGAAAUCUGUAACUGGUUGUGAUUGAUUAGUUGUAAACGCCACUGCACUCGGACCAGCUUCUAAGAAAUCUUUAA